UACGCAGGGUGCAAGCGUUGUCCGGAAUUAUUGGGCGUAAAGAGCUCGUAGGCGGUUUGUCGCGUCUGCUGUGAAAACCCGAGGCUCAACCUCGGGCCUGCAGUGGGUACGGGCAGACUAGAGUGCGGUAGGGGAGAUUGGAAUUCCUGGUGUAGCGGCGGAAUGCGCAGAUAUCAGGAGGAACACCAAUGGCGAAGGCAGAUCUCUGGGCCGUAACUGACGCUGAGGAGCGAAAGCAUGGGGAGCGAACAGG
rnacentral:rRNA from 1 species